CUAUUGGGUGGUGGCCACAUCCGGGCUCAGAAGACCUGGGCUGCACAGACUGGGGUCGCGGAGGCUAGCUGCUGGCGUCUCUGGCCAUGGGGCGGCGCUGGGGCCCGGCCAUGGCUGCCGGUGAGCGGGCGGGCUGCGUAGUGAGCGCCCGCGGUGCCGGGGCCGAGGCCGAGGGCCCAUGGAGCUGUAGCGGGGUGCUGCUGAACCGGCGCGCCGGGCUCGUGCUGUGUCACGGAGGCAUCGUGGCGCCCUUCCUGCGAGCCGGCCCCGGGGCGCUGCAGCCGGGAACUGGGCCAUCCUUCCUGGGCCCCGACAGCUGCCGCGACGACCUGCGGCUGUAUGUGCAGUGGGGACCCGGCCGCGGGCCGAGGGCGCGCGCCGAGCUGCGGGGCGCGCUGUGCACGCCACCCUGCAGCGCCCAGCCCGCGCCUCGCUCCCCUGCGUGUGCCCGCCUGCUGCUGCUCGCCUGCUGUCCUGCCUUCCGCGCCAGUUUCGCACGCCUCUUUGGCGGCGACGUGCCCGAGCAGUGGCGUUUCGCAGGGGGCGGCCCCGAGCCCCCUGAGGAUGAGGCCUCGACCUCGGGGGCCGACGAAGGGCCGCUGCUGGCGGCGCUCGGCUGGUUCGCACUGUUGCGCCUGGAGGACUGCACAGUGAAGGAGGUGAUGGGGAGUCCGCGGCUGUCCGUGGUCCCAGCUGCCUCUCUGCCUAAGGGUGCCCCGCUGCUCACCUGUGGUUCCCCAUUCGGAGCCUUCUGCCCCGACAUCUUCUUGAACAGUCUGAGCCGCGGAGUGCUCAGCAACGCUGCUGGCCCCCUACUGCUCACGGACGCGCGCUGCCUGCCAGGCACGGAGGGUGCCGGUGUCUUCUCGACCCAUGGUGCACUGGUGGCCCUGGUGGCAGCACCGCUCUGCUGGCGGGCACGCGAGUGGGUGGGCUUGAGUCUGCUUUGCGCUGCUGAUGCCCUCCUCCGCUCUGCCGCCCUAGCGCUCCGCCGCCUGGGCCUCCAAGCCGAAGCCAAAGAGCUAGCUGCAUUACUGCCCCGCCAGGCCAGGGACACCUCUGCUGGGCCCCAGAGGGCCCAGGUGCUCCAGGAGCACGGUGCAGCCUGGCUUGCCGCUGUCCUGGUCGAGUGUGGAUCCGUGUGGGGCUCUGGAGUGGCGCUGGCCCCACGCCUGGUACUCACCUGCCGACACGUGGCCCCCAGAGAAAACAAGAGAGUCCUGGUGCGGCCUGCCACCAAGAGCCCUCCAGUCUGGGGGGAAGUUGUGUUUGCUACCCAAGAUACAUCUCCCUAUGACGUGGCAGUGGUGAAACUCGAGGAGAGCCUCAAGGGGAUCCCAUUUCCAGUCCUGGCCAGCUACUUCCAUGAAGGUAGGCCAGGAGGACCAGGACAGUGAGAGUGAGCAGCAGCGUAAGGGGUGGAGAAGAGGCAGGCGGGACUGGCCGGCCUCCAAAAGGCUGGAUUGUGACAAGCCAAGGGUCUGUCUUCUGAGCCUAUCAAUUUAUUAAGCAGUGCGUGCCAAUUGCCCAACAAAUCGGGACGAGGCCUCUUCCUCAGCUUAAGGGCCCAGAAUACCAGAGGAGGCAGACUUUCUCCAUUAAAAGCAAUCAAGGAAGGUCUAAUGAUUAAAGGGAAACAGUAGAGGAGGCUAGACUAGACCAUGGCACGAUACUUUAUAGUUCAAAGUCUGAACUCGUUUCUGUGAUGCUUCAAGGUUUACAUUUGUUGUUAUGGAAGCUCCUAGAGGGGCAGAACUGUUCAUCCUUCAUGUGGGUAUCCCCAGUGCCUGCCCCCUAGGAGGUGUAUUCAGGCACUGACACCGCAUGUUUUCCUCAUGGUAUCCUGGGAGAAAGGUACUAUGUACAUAAGAUUUUUUUUUUGACAGAACCAGUGGUUUCUUUUUUUUGAACCUUCACCUUCCAUCUUAAAAACAAUUCUGAUUAUUGGUUCCAAGUCAGAAGAGUGGUGAGAGCUAGGCAAGGGUCAUAUAGAUAGGAACUGUCUGAAUCCAGAUUUGAACCCAGGACCUCCCAUCUUGAAGCCUGACUCUCAAUCCACUGAGCUUCCCAGCUGCUCCCAGGACCAGUGCUUUCAUUGGUGAAUGAAGCUCCUCUGAGGAAUUCUCUUUACCAAGGUGAGGAUGUCUGCGUGGUCGGCUUUGGUGCGUUUGGCCAGGCCUGCGGCCCCUCCGUGACCUCAGGGAUCCUGUCUGCCGUGGUGGAGGUGAAUGAGGCACCCGUGAUGCUGCAGACGACGUGUGCUG